UACAGAGGGUGCAAGCGUUAAUCGGAGUUACUGGGCGUAAAGGGCGCGUAGGCGGUGGAAUGAGUGUGGUGUGAAAGCCCCGGGCUUAACCUGGGAAGCGCAUCGCAAACGAUUUCACUGGAGUAUAUGAGAGGGUGGCGGAAUUUCCGGUGUAGCGGUGAAAUGCGUAGAGAUCGGAAGGAACGUCGAUGGCGAAGGCAGCCACCUGGCAUAAUACUGACGCUGAGGCGCGAAAGCGUGGGGAGCGAACAGG
rnacentral:rRNA from 1 species